GAUCGGCUGUCGUGUCGAAGUAUACAAAAGGAAAUCGACUGGCUACCAGAUUAUUAUUCCAGGCACGCCAUUUGAACGUCCGUUCCUUCUAAAACAUUCCACGAUACGAUAGGUAGUGCCAGUCGAAGACAACGCUUCUUUCCGAACGUGCAAGUGCGACGCGAAUGAGAUACGUUUGUGCAACACAAAUCUAAAAGGUAUUUAGUCGGCGAGAUGAAGUGUAAACUGGUUGUGUUCGGCGAAGACCUGCUAAAAGGAAGUCUGAAAUGAUCAGGAUGUACAGAGAACAUCACAUAGUACUGUUAGUCAUAUAUCCACACUGCGGCCUUACCCGCUGAUGAAACACAGGCAAACUCUAGGAAGACAUAUUGCGUCCUCCGCAGCUUCAGGAGCGGAGAGGCGAUCAAUACGUCGCUCUAGAACGGAGAAGGAACGGAAGCUACGUCAUUGGGAGACUUUGGUGCUUGUGGGGAGCGGAAAGGGGUCGAGGUAAAGGGACCUUUUCCAGGCGAUUCCUCGAGAGGCAGAGGAGAGGAGACCAGGCCUGGCUCAGACCAGAUAUGCCCAGCUAUGAGCGCGAAAAGAUGAUGAGACGAAGGGUGGUCCCUGGAUUUUGCAUCUCUCUUUCUCCAGAAGGGUAGUUGACAGGGACUCCAAACCGAGACUGCACGACUCGAACCGAGCGUCAACGAGA